AAGAAAACAAAAUAGGUUCUACAGUUUGAAGGAAAGAAAAAGUCUAAUUUCAAACUUAAACUAUUUCAUUACUUAUCGCCUCAAAGUAAUAUUUUUGUCAGCUCAUUAAGGAAAUGUAUCUUCAUGAUCAUCUAAUAUUCUUUAGGACAACUUAUCUUGGAUAAAACCAGAAUAUCAUAUUUCUGGUUUCAUUGUUUCAUCAUUCCUGGCUACAUGUUAACUCAAACUUCAUUUUUCUAAAGUAUUGGUUUCGUCUUCUACCUUAGUUUCAUCAUUGACUUUCCAUUUAUGAUAUAUGGUCUGGUUUUGUCCAAUUUAAGUCCAAUUUGGAUUAGUUCUUUACAAAUCAAUUCACAAUGCCAUGAAUCCAUUAAUUUUGCAUUAUCAAAGGCAUAUUUUUCACAAAUAUAUAUCUUAAUCCUGUAUUUCAUAAAAAUUAAUAGUAGGUUAUUAGGAAACUUUAGUACUUUAAAUGAGGUUUGGAACAUGGGAAUGGAUUUUUUUUUUUUAACUUGGAGCUUCCAGUUGGUACAGAUUUGUUUACCUAGUAAUAAUAUAAACUAUUCCAUCCCUGUAAGUGAUUGAAUUGCUGCUAGAUUUAACAUUUAUUUCAUUGCAAGUACAAAUAGUUUGACAGACAUGACAUACUGCAGUAUAGCAUACUACAAUAAACCAAGCAAAUUAAACAACAAAAUUGACAAGACUUUCUAGGUUCAAAUUUAGAGUUAACAAUAGCCUGGAAGUAUGUCAAGCUUACACCAAUUAUUUUGAUUUUAUUUAGUUGUUUCAUUAUUGUCUUUUUAGGGUCGCACCCAUGGCAUAUGGAGGUUCCCAAGCUAGGGGUCAAAUUGGAGGUGCAGCUGGCAGCCUACACCACAGCCCAAGCAUCAUAGGUUAGGUCCAUGAUCUACCUCACUACUCACAGCAACACCGGAUCCUUAACCCACUGAAUGAAGCCAGGGAUCAAAACUGCAUCCUCAUGGAUGCUAGUCAGAUUCAUUUUCCCUGAGCCACAGUGGGAACUCUGCAAUUAUUUUGAAUCCAUAUUUUUAAUUUAUGAAAAGAAAGUAAAACAAUCUAGAUUUCAUUAAUUCAUUAAUUAAAAGGAGAAUGUAAUAUGAAAGUACAGAUAAAAAUAACAUUAAGAAGUAAGCGUAUGGUCAAUUUUAAGUGCCUUUUAAUUCUUUUUAAUUUCCUGGUUUAUUUUACAGUGAGAAUGUACUAAUUUUAUAUUUAAACUUUCUCACUCUUCUUCCCUACUAAAAUUAAAAAAAAAAAAAGUCACCGCAUACUGGCAAAUGAGUCUACUCCUAAAUCAUCCACUGAUAGACUUUAUUGGUUAUGAAUUCCCUUGUAUUAUAGCAUCCUCCUAACAAGACCAUCAGUUUUUAAUCAUGGUACUCUCUAACCCCGCUCCCCACUACAGAUAAUCGUCCUAUAACACAGAGUAAAUUAGGUUACAACUUGACAACCUCUGUUUGUAAUUGGCCUUUGAUUGCAUUUUGGGUAGAAUUUAAAUUCCUUAGCAUGAUGCCAGAGGCAUAGUGAAUCCGUGGUGCCUGUUUUGAUGCCCCACCUCUUUUCCAUGGACACUAAUGUUCAGGCAUACUGAACUUGUGGUUCAGCAGACAUGCCCAUCUCCCCCCAUGUCCCAGGCUUCAAACCAGGAAUAUCUAUUCGUGUUUGCCAAUCCAACUUGAUGUCAUGCAGAAAUCAGCUCAGGUUCAUCCUCUAUAACUCUAUCCUCUUAAUCCAUCCUAAACCUUUGAGUUGAGUGAACCACAUAGACCUACCAUGUAGAGCUAUAUGAUGUUAUUAUGUAUCUCUAACACUGUAUUACACUCCUUGGUUUUCUAUUGUGUGUAUGCAUUAAGCUUUGAGCAUUUAGAAGGCUGGUGCAACUCUAUCCUUGUAUUAACUCUAACUAUUGCUCACCAAGAACUCACUUGAGAAAUGAUGAAUGGAUGUUGAAUGAAUUAUUUUCCAUUGGGCUGCUGUCACAGUAUCUUUGCAAACAUAAAUCACUGUGUAGGAAACAAUUCAGGGAGGUACAAUUUCUAAAAAUAUGUAUGUACUAAAGAUGUGUCUUAUGGUAUACAUACUAAAGGUAUGUGAGUUUGUGUUCAACUAAUACAAAAUUGUUACCAGUGUCUUCAUAUGGGUCAAGUAUUAUAGCCAUUUUAAUCUUACAAAAUAGUAUAACAAAUAUAGACUCUUCAUUUAUAACCACAGCACUUUGAAAAGUUUGGUAGCAAUAUAUUCAAACUCAACAUUUAAAUUUUCAUGAAUUUUGUUAAAUGUAUAUAUUCAUACUGAUAAUGCUUGGAAAACAUUACCAAUUUAAUUUUUGUGGUAUAAAGUAUAUCUCAAGAAUUUGAUAUCUUAAUUAUAUUAAAACACUUGUCACCUAUUGAAAUGUCGGCUAUUUUAAAUCUAUAUGAAGAGCCUGGCUAAAUAUAAAUUUGUUUUUAAUUGUUAUUUUUGGUUUGGCACUUAUCCAUUAUUUGCAUAUGAUCUUAUGUGUUUUUGAUAAAACCUUUUUAACUUACCUUACUUCCCAAAGGGUAUUGCCUAAGAUUCUGUGGUAGCUACUGUCAGAGGCAGACACUAUGCAUAUUUAUAAAAUGCUAUAGCAAAAUAAUCCUGAAUUUGGUCUAGAUGUAUUAGUUUUUGAGGUGAUGUUUCUAAUUUCUCUAGGUUGUCUUGGCUUUUAUACACAUGAAUGAAAGCUACAUCUCAUUUUCACUUCUGGCUUGACUCAUUCAGAGAAGCAGUUUGAUUUACAGAUGUGAAAGGUGACUGUACUUUGCCCAGAGCCUCCCAGGCUGCCUAGAAAGAUUUUCCUCCCAAAUAUUCAGGAAAAAUGUUUUUGUUUUGUUUUUGUUUUUCUAAAAAAGAAAUGAGUGACAGGCCUCUCCCGUAUGCAGGCAAUCCUAUAGAGUGACCUGUAGAACUUAUACACAUUAUCAGAUACUACAGAAAACAAUUUACACAGUUUCAGUCAUACUGACUAAAGACAAGUGAACUAUAUGAUGUAUACGUGCAUAACACUAGAAGCAAAUUGUGUACUGGUUUUGAAAGGUUUGUGAUACCAAAUUGGUAAGCAAGUCUGGUCUUACUGCCAAAAUAUAUAAUAGAUCCUUUAAGAAGUAGUGAAAUCCCAUGGAACAGGUCUUUUGAAAAAGAUGAACCCCAAGAAGCAUGCUUGAAGACAUACAGCUCUUAUCUGUCAAUAUCAUACAUAGUGAAUGUGUUUUAAAAAAAAAGCAUAAUGGUGUGCUAUUGUUAUAGCUGAGACAUUGCUCUGCUUUAUGUUUGCAUUAGGGACUUGUUAAGGUGCAUAAUGUUUUGCCCACUAAAUGUCUAUAUGAGACAAGAUUGUCAACUCAGCUGUAAACAAAGGGCACUCUUGCUAGAAAAAUCUCUGAAAUUGGCUUUCUAAAUACAAACAGCAGGAAGGCCUCUCAUUUCUUACUUUCCCUGAUCAUUGUUCUAGGAUUUGAAAGCAAAUAUAAAUAUAUAUGUGAUUUGUAAAAAUCUUAAAAGUCUUACCUUAACAUCCCAUUGUUUUAUUAUCCUAUUUUUCUUAAAGACUGUGUUCAAGCUGUGGACAUAAAACCACCAUAAAAAAUCUGCCCUUCCCAGUGGAUUCACAAUAUAUAAGGCACACACUGAAGAUGACUCUCUAACAUUGAGUAUGGUGUGCAGUUUUGCUGGGAUUAAGAAGAAAGCUCUUAUUCUCAGGUUAAAGUAAAAGUGUUGAGUAAUAGUUGCCAAACAUUUUCUACAUGUAGAACUCAGACUUUGGAAUUUUGAUCAUAUAGUUGAGGGGGGAAAAAUAGGCUAAGAAGUUUGAUACUCUGCCUGUGGAAGAAAAGAGGGAGGAUGCCUUCAAAUGUGUGUCAGCCUACUCACUGCUCCCUUAUCCAGUCCCUAAUGCCUGAUGGUCACCAUGGGUACUGAUUGCCUUAGCCACAGAAACCACCAAAUACACUCUUGACAUUUCACUGCCUUUAACCAUAUGAAACAACAUAGCUAAACAGAAUAGAUGACUAACCAUAAGUGACACUUGUUAAUUUGUAGACUAAGCUUGGGGGAGGGGGGAAUGACUGUAAUGCUUUUUGGCAACCAAAGCAUCAGGGUCUGCAUUAUAUUCUUAAGACAAAGAAAAAAAAUGUAGUUGAACUGCUUGAGAACAAUAUAGUCAUUUGUUCAUGAGUUCUAAAUCUUCCCUGUUUUAAUAUGGAUAUCUUGCUCUUCCAGGCCAGAUUGAAAUGAAACCUUGAAAACACUUUUAAAAGGCUAUUUGGAAAAAAAAAAUACUCUUAAUAGCUUCUCU
rnacentral:lncRNA from 1 species